rnacentral:rRNA from 1 species
CAAGAACUUCGCCUGUUUACCAAAAACAUCGCCUCUUGCAGCACAAAGUAUAAGAGGUCCCGCCUGCCCAGUGAUAAUUUCAACGGCCGCGGUAUCAUGACCGUGCAAAGGUAGCGUAAUCACUUGUCUUUUAAAUAGAGACCCGUAUGAAAGGCAAAACGAAAGUUCAACUGUCUCUUUAAUCCAAUCAAUGAAAUUGAUCUCUCCGUGCAGAAGCGGAAAUAAUAAUAUAAGACGAGAAGACCCUAUGGAGCUUUAAAUAAAAAAUUAACUAUACCACCCCACUAAACCAACAGGCAAAACAACCCACUAUAGUCAUAAUUUGAAUUUUCGGUUGGGGCGACCACGGAAGAAAACCAAUCCUCCGAGAUAAACAAUUUAGAACUACACUUCAAAAACUAAAACAUUUACAUAAAUGAUCCACUAAGUGACCAACGAACCAAGUUACCCUAGGGAUAACAGCGCAAUCCUUUCUAAGAGUCCAUAUCGACGAAUGGGUUUACGACCUCGAUGUUGGAUCAGGACACCCAAAUGGUGCAGCCGCUAUUAAAGGUUCGUUUGUUCAACGAUUAAAGUCCUACGUGAUC